AGGAUAAACGCUGGCGGCGUGCAUGAGACAUGCAAGUCGAACGGACUUUCUCGGGCUUGCUCGAGAAAGUUAGUGGCGGACGGCUGAGUAACGCGUAGGUGACCUGUCCCGAAGUGGGGAAUAACUGCCCGAAAGGGUGGCUAAUACCGCAUGUGAUCGCUCAUUCGGUUGGGUGAUCAAAGCAGUAAUGCGCUUUGGGAGGGCCUGCGUCCGAUUAGCUCGUUGGUGGGUAAUGGCUCACCAAGGCGACGAUCGGUAGGUGGUCUGAGAGGACGAUCACCCAGACUGGGACUGAGACACGGCCCAGACUCCUACGGGAGCAGCAGU
rnacentral:rRNA from 1 species